CCCAGCAAGAUCUGAUGGAAAUGCCAAAAAAUAGAGUCUUGUUUGCAGUUUAACUUGUUCAACACAAGAAGGAGGACACACAUACACACAAUUUUCUUCCACCUUUAUUUCGGUUGACUACAGGAAGAGAGGCCAGUGAUUUCAGGUCAAAAGGUGAGGGAAGAGGACCUUAACAGAAAUACAGUCAUCCCGCGCAAACCACAAGUGUCCCAAUCACGGUUUUAAGUAUUCGCGACUGGGAGAAGAAUGUCUGGUCACCUGCAGCAAAGCCAUCCACUUCCACAACAAGCCUCUGCAUGGCUACCAACUCGAGCCAGCCAAGACCUUAACUCUUCUGAUGUAAUCCGUUUUACUGUACACUUGUGGACUGUCCAUUGCAGUUUAAUUUUCUUUACAAAAGAAAUAUAAAUCUAUUUAUAUAUAGUA